rnacentral:rRNA from 1 species
GACGAACGCUGGCGGCGUGCUUAACACAUGCAAGUCGAGCGGAAAGGCCCUUCGGGGUACUCGAGCGGCGCACGGGUGAGUAACACGUGAGUAAUCUGCCCUUGGCUUUGGGAUAACUACCGGAAACGGUGGCUAAUACCGGAUACGACAACCGUCUGCAUGGGCUGGUUGUGGAAAGUUUUUUCGGCCAGGGAUGUGCUCGCGGCCUAUCAGCUUGUUGGUGGGGUAAUGGCCUACCAAGGCUUCGACGGGUAGCCGGCCUGAGAGGGUGACCGGCCACACUGGGACUGAGACACGGCCCAGACUCCUACGGGAGGCAGCAGUGGGGAAUAUUGGACAAUGGGCGGAAGCCUGAUCCAGCAACGCCGCGUGAGGGAUGACGGCCUUCGGGUUGUAAACCUCUUUCAGUACCGACGAAGCGCCGAUGAUGGUGGUGACGGUAGGUACAGAAGAAGCACCGGCCAACUACGUG